AUACGUAGGUGACAAGCGUUAUCCGGAUUUACUGGGCGUAAAGGGCGUGUAGGCGGUCUUGCAAGUCAGAAGUGAAAUUCCUGAGCUCAACUCGGGCGCUGCUUCUGAAACUGCAGGACUUGAGUGCUGGAGGGGAUAGCGGAAUUCCUAGUGGAGCGGUAAAAUGCGCAGAUAUUAGGAAGAACACCGGAGGCGAAGGCGACUAGCUGGACCGAAACGGACGCUGAGGCGCAAAAGCGUGGGAAGCAGACUGGAUUAGAUACCCUGGAGGUCCACACCGUAAACGAUGAAUACUAGGUGUAGGGGGUAUCGACUCCCUCUGUGCCGCAGUUAACACAAUAAGUAUUCCGCCUGGGGAGUACGGCCGCAAGGUUGAAACUCAAAUGAAUUGACGGGG
rnacentral:rRNA from 1 species